UACGUAGGGUGCAAGCGUUGUCCGGAAUUAUUGGGCGUAAAGAGCUCGUAGGCGGUUUUGUCGCGUCUGCCGUGAAAAUUCGAGGCUCAACCUCGAACUUGCGGUGGGUACGGGCAGACUAGAGUGUGGUAGGGGAGACUGGAAUUCCUGGUGUAGCGGUGAAAUGCGCAGAUAUCAGGAGGAACACCGAUGGCGAAGGCAGGUCUCUGGGCCACUACUGACGCUGAGAAGCGAAAGCAUGGGGAGCGAACAGG
rnacentral:rRNA from 1 species